rnacentral:rRNA from 1 species
UACGAAGGGGGCUAGCGUUGCUCGGAAUUACUGGGCGUAAAGGGCGCGUAGGCGGACAGCUUAGUCAGAGGUGAAAGCCCAGGGCUCAACCUUGGAACUGCCUUUGAUACUGGCUGUCUUGAGUUCGGGAGAGGUGAGUGGAAUGCCGAGUGUAGAGGUGAAAUUCGUAGAUAUUCGGCGGAACACCAGUGGCGAAGGCGACUCACUGGCCCGAUACUGACGCUGAGGCGCGAAAGCGUGGGGAGCAAACAGG